UACGGGGGGGGCAAGCGUUGUUCGGAAUUACUGGGCGUAAAGGGCUCGUAGGCGGCCAACUAAGUCAGACGUGAAAUCCCUCGGCUUAACCGGGGAACUGCGUCUGAUACUGGUUGGCUUGAAUCCGGGAGAGGGAUGUGGAAUUCCAGGUGUAGCGGUGAAAUGCGUAGAUAUCAGGAGGAACACCGGUGGCGAAGGCGGGUCUCUGGGCCGAUACUGACGCUGAGGAGCGAAAGCGUGGGGAGCGAACAGG
rnacentral:rRNA from 1 species